rnacentral:rRNA from 1 species
GGGGGGACGGUUAUCGGAUUAUUGGGUUUAAGGGUCCGUAGGCUGAUUUGUAAGUCAGUGGUGAAAUCUCACAGCUUAACUGUGAAACUGCCAUUGAUACUGCAAGUCUUGAGUGUUGUUGAAGUAGCUGGAAUAAGUAGUGUAGCGGUGAAAUGCAUAGAUAUUACUUAGAACACCAAUUGCGAAGGCAGGUUACUAAGCAACAACUGACGCUGAUGGACGAAAGCGUGGGGAGCGAACAGGAUUAGAUACCCUGGUAGUCCACGCCGUAAACGAUGCUAACUCGUUUUUGGGUUUUCGGAUUCAGAGACUAAGCGAAAGUGAUAAGUUAGCCACCUGGGGAGUACGAACGCAAGUUUGAAACUCAAAGGAAUUGACGGGGGCCCGCACAAGCGGUGGAUUAUGUGGUUUAAUUCGAUGAUACGCGAGGAACCUUACCAAGGCUUAAAUGGGAAAUGACAGGUUUAGAAAUAGACUUUUCUUCGGACAUUUUUCAAGGUGCUGCAUGGUUGUCGUCAGCUCGUGCCGUGAGGUGUUAGGUUAAGUCCUGCAACGAGCGCAACCCCUGUCACUAGUUGCCAUCAUUAAGUUGGGGACUCUAGUGAGACUGCCUACGCAAGUAGAGAGGAAGGUGGGGAUGACGUCAAAUCAUCACGGCCCUUACGCCUUGGGCCACACACGUAAUACAAUGGCCGGUACAGAGGGCAGCUACACAGUGAUGUGAUGCAAAUCUCGAAAGCCGGUCUCAGUUCGGAUUGGAGUCUGCAACUCGACUCUAUGAAGCUGGAAUCGCUAGUAAUCGCGCAUCAGCCAUGGCGCGGUGAAUACGUUCCCGGGCCUUGUACACACCGCCCGUCAAGCCAUGGAAGUCUGGGGUACCUGAAGUCGGUGACCGUAACAGGAGCUGCCUAGGGUAAAACAGGUAACUAGGGCUAAGUCGUACGAAGGGAAGCCGUAAAAGGGUAACCGUA